rnacentral:tRNA from 1 species
ACCUGGGUGGCUCAGUCGGUUGGGCGUCUGACUUCGGUUCAGGUCAUGAUCUCGCGGUCCGUGGGUUCAAGCCCCGCGUCGGGCU